rnacentral:rRNA from 1 species
UGGGGAAUAUUGGACAAUGGGGGCAACCCUGAUCCAGCAAUGCCGCGUGUGUGAAGAAGGUCUUCGGAUUGUAAAGCACUUUCGACGGGGACGAUGAUGACGGUACCCGUAGAAGAAGCCCCGGCUAACUUCGUGCCAGCAGCCGCGGUAAUACGAAGGGGGCUAGCGUUGCUCGGAAUGACUGGGCGUAAAGGGCGUGUAGGCGGUUUACACAGUCAGAUGUGAAAUCCCCGGGCUUAACCUGGGAGCUGCAUUUGAUACGUGUAGACUAGAGUGUGAGAGAGGGUUGUGGAAUUCCCAGUGUAGAGGUGAAAUUCGUAGAUAUUGGGAAGAACACCGGUGGCGAAGGCGGCAACCUGGCUCAUGACUGACGCUGAGGCGCGAAAGCGUGGGGAGCAAACAGGAUUAGAUACCCUGGUAGUCCACGCUGUAAAACGAUGUGUGCUAGAUGUUGGGUAACUUUGUUAUUCAGUGUCGCAGUUAACGCGUUAAGCACACCGCCUGGGGAGUACGGCCGCAAGGUUGAAAC